rnacentral:rRNA from 1 species
UAGGGAAUCUUCCGCAAUGGACGAAAGUCUGACGGAGCAACGCCGCGUGAGUGAAGAAGGAUUUCGGUUCGUAAAACUCUGUUGUUAGGGAAGAAAAAAUGUAUAGUAACUAUAUACAAAAGAGACGGUACCUAACCAGAAAGCCACGGCUAACUACGUGCCAGCAGCCGCGGUAAUACGUAGGUGGCAAGCGUUGUCCGGAAUUAUUGGGCGUAAAGCGCGCGCAGGUGGUUUAGAAAAGUCUGAAGUGAAAGGCAGUGGCUCAACCAUUGUAGGCUUUGGAAACUGUUUAACUUGAGUGCAGAAGGGGAGAGUGGAAUUCCAUGUGUAGCGGUGAAAUGCGUAGAUAUAUGGAGGAACACCGGUGGCGAAAGCGGCUCUCUGGUCUGUAACUGACGCUGAGGCUCGAAAGCGUGGGGAGCGAACAGG